GGGUGAGUAAUGUCUGGGAAACUGCCUGAUGGAGGGGGAUAACUACUGGAAACGGUGGCUAAUACCGCAUAACGUCGCAAGACCAAAGAGGGGGACCUUCGGGCCUCUUGCCAUCAGAUGUGCCCAGAUGGGAUUAGCUAGUUGGUGAGGUAACGGCUCACCAAGGCGACGAUCCCUAGCUGGUCUGAGAGGAUGACCAGCCACACUGGAACUGAGACACGGUCCAGACUCCUACGGGAGGCAGCAGUGGGGAAUAUUGCACAAUGGGCGCAAGCCUGAUGCAGCCAUGCCGCGUGUAUGAAGAAGGCCUUCGGGUUGUAAAGUACUUUCAGCGGGGAGGAAGGUGUUGUGGUUAAUAACCACAGCAAUUGACGUUACCCGCAGAAGAAGCACCGGCUAACUCCGUGCCAGCAGCCGCGGUAAUACGGAGGGUGCAAGCGUUAAUCGGAAUUACUGGGCGUAAAGCGCACGCAGGCGGUCUGUCAAGUCGGAUGUGAAAUCCCCGGGCUCAACCUGGGAACUGCAUUCGAAACUGGCAGGCUUGAGUCUUGUAGAGGGGGGUAGAAUUCCAGGUGUAGCGGUGAAAUGCGUAGAGAUCUGGAGGAAUACCGGUGGCGAAGGCGGCCCCCUGGACAAAGACUGACGCUCAGGUGCGAAAGCGUGGGGAGCAAACAGGAUUAGAUACCCUGGUAGUCCACGCCGUAAACGAUGUCUACUUGGAGGUUGUGCCCUUGAGGCGUGGCUUCCGGAGCUAACGCGUUAAGUAGACCGCCUGGGGAGUACGGCCGCAAGGUUAAAACUCAAAUGAAUUGACGGGGGCCCGCACAAGCGGUGGAGCAUGUGGUUUAAUUCGAUGCAACGCGAAGAACCUUACCUGGUCUUGACAUCCACGGAAGUUUUCAGAGAUGAGAAUGUGCCUUCGGGAACCGUGAGACAGGUGCUGCAUGGCUGUCGUCAGCUCGUGUUGUGAAAUGUUGGGUUAAGUCCCGCAACGAGCGCAACCCUUAUCCUUUGUUGCCAGCGGUCCGGCCGGGAACUCAAAGGAGACUGCCAGUGAUAAACUGGAGGAAGGUGGGGAUGACGUCAAGUCAUCAUGGCCCUUACGACCAGGGCUACACACGUGCUACAAUGGCGCAUACAAAGAGAAGCGACCUCGCGAGAGCAAGCGGACCUCAUAAAGUGCGUCGUAGUCCGGAUUGGAGUCUGCAACUCGACUCCAUGAAGUCGGAAUCGCUAGUAAUCGUGGAUCAGAAUGCCACGGUGAAUACGUUCCCGGGCCUUGUACACACCGCCCGUCACACCAUGGGAGUGGGUUGCAAAAGAAGUAGGUAGCUUAACCUUCGGGAGGGCGCUUACCACUUUGUGAUUCAUGACUGGGGUGAAGUCGUAACAAGGUAACCGUAGGGGAACCUGC
rnacentral:rRNA from 1 species